ensembl:lncRNA
AGGCCCGGCCGCGGGCAGGAGCUGGGGCCCGACGCCGUCGUCAGCCCCCGCGGGGUCCCCAGGCCGCGUCCCCCCGGGCAGGGGCGGGGGCGGGGCCGAGCGCAGCCGGAGGCGCUGGGGGAGCCCAGGGGGCUCCUGGGGGGCUUCCCGGAGGAGGCGGCCUGCGCCGGGCCUCGGGACGCGGCGCCUUCGAGCGGCGGAGGCGGGGCGGGCCCGGNNNNNNNNNNNNNNNNNNNNNNNNNGGAGAGCACCCCCCGGGCCUGGGACGCCCCCGUGGCCGCGAUCCUCCCAGGGGAGGGGCAGGGCUGGUCGCGGGCUCGCUGUGAACGUCCGCGGGGUGACCCGGGCGGCCGGGGUGCUGGGGCAGCUGGGCACCCCCGUCCUCCCCCCAGCCCUCAGCGGGGCCCAGGUGCGCUGGUUAGGGCAGCUGGGCACCGCGUCCCCCAGCCCUCAGCCGGACCCAGGUGCGCUGGUUCGGGCAGCUGGGCCCCGUCCCCCAGCCCUCAGCGGGGCCCAGGUACGCUGGUUAGGGCAGCUGGGCACCGCGUCCCCCAGCCCUCAGCCGGACCCAGGUGCGCUGGUUCGGGCAGCUGGGCCCCGUCCCCCAGCCCUCAGCGGGGCCCAGGUACGCUGGUUAGGGCAGCUGGGCACCGCGUCCCCCAGCCCUCAGCCGGACCCAGGUGCGCUGGUUCGGGCAGCUGGGCCCCGUCCCCCAGCCCUCAGCGGGGCCCAGGUACGCUGGUUAGGGCAGCUGGGCACCGCGUCCCCCAGCCCUCAGCCGGACCCAGGUGCGCUGGUUCGGGCAGCUGGGCCCCGUCCCCCAGCCCUCAGCGGGGCCCAGGUACGCUGGUUAGGGCAGCUGGGCACCGCGUCCCCCAGCCCUCAGCCGGACCCAGGUGCGCUGGUUCGGGCAGCUGGGCCCCGUCCCCCAGCCCUCAGCGGGGCCCAGGUACGCUGGUUAGGGCAGCUGGGCACCGCGUCCCCCAGCCCUCAGCCGGACCCAGGUGCGCUGGUUCGGGCAGCUGGGCCCCGUCCCCCAGCCCUCAGCGGGGCCCAGGUACGCUGGUUAGGGCAGCUGGGCACCGCGUCCCCCAGCCCUCAGCCGGACCCAGGUGCGCUGGUUCGGGCAGCUGGGCCCCGUCCCCCAGCCCUCAGCGGGGCCCAGGUACGCUGGUUAGGGCAGCUGGGCACCGCGUCCCCCAGCCCUCAGCCGGACCCAGGUGCGCUGGUUCGGGCAGCUGGGCCCCGUCCCCCAGCCCUCAGCGGGGCCCAGGUACGCUGGUUAGGGCAGCUGGGCACCGCGUCCCCCAGCCCUCAGCCGGACCCAGGUGCGCUGGUUCGGGCAGCUGGGCCCCGUCCCCCAGCCCUCAGCGGGGCCCAGGUACGCUGGUUAGGGCAGCUGGGCACCGCGUCCCCCAGCCCUCAGCCGGACCCAGGUGCGCUGGUUCGGGCAGCUGGGCCCCGUCCCCCAGCCCUCAGCGGGGCCCAGGUACGCUGGUUAGGGCAGCUGGGCACCGCGUCCCCCAGCCCUCAGCCGGACCCAGGUGCGCUGGUUCGGGCAGCUGGGCCCCGUCCCCCAGCCCUCAGCGGGGCCCAGGUACGCUGGUUAGGGCAGCUGGGCACCGCGUCCCCCAGCCCUCAGCCGGACCCAGGUGCGCUGGUUCGGGCAGCUGGGCCCCGUCCCCCAGCCCUCAGCGGGGCCCAGGUACGCUGGUUAGGGCAGCUGGGCACCGCGUCCCCCAGCCCUCAGCCGGACCCAGGUGCGCUGGUUCGGGCAGCUGGGCCCCGUCCCCCAGCCCUCAGCGGGGCCCAGGUACGCUGGUUAGGGCAGCUGGGCACCGCGUCCCCCAGCCCUCAGCCGGACCCAGGUGCGCUGGUUCGGGCAGCUGGGCCCCGUCCCCCAGCCCUCAGCGGGGCCCAGGUACGCUGGUUAGGGCAGCUGGGCACCGCGUCCCCCAGCCCUCAGCCGGACCCAGGUGCGCUGGUUCGGGCAGCUGGGCCCCGUCCCCCAGCCCUCAGCGGGGCCCAGGUACGCUGGUUAGGGCAGCUGGGCACCGCGUCCCCCAGCCCUCAGCCGGACCCAGGUGCGCUGGUUCGGGCAGCUGGGCCCCGUCCCCCAGCUCUCAGCGGGGCCCAGGUGCGCUGGUUAGGGCAGCUGGGCCCCGUCCCCCAGCCCUCAGCGGGGCGCAGCUGCGCUGGUGCACCACCUCAGACCCAGAGCAGCGCAAGUGCGGCGACCUGAGCAAGGCCUUCGGAGCCGCCGGGAUCCAGCCGCCCGUCGGGUGUGUGCAGGCCCCUUCCGCCGACCANGGGGGGGGGGGGGGGGGGGGGCAGGGGGGCUCCGACGGGGCACCACAAGGGCUCCAUUCACGGGGAGGCUCCGGGUGGCCGAAGUCUCCAGGCAACGGGGCCAGGGCUUCCUGGCCAGCCCGUCCCCGCCCAGGUGGGGCCCGGGCACAGUCCUCCCUCCAGGAGAGGCCCCUGCGACAGUGGGGACACUGUCACCGGCCGCACACCCACCCCGGAGGGGCCCCCGGGGGCGCCAGGAGGGCUGUGCAGGUUCCCAGGAGGGGGCUGGCAGCAGCCCCGGGUGCAGGGAGCGGGGUGCAGGGAGCAGGCAGGCGACCUGGCCCAGCUGGCACCGCCGCUGCGAGCUUGGCCGUCAGGGCCCGACUCCAGGCAGGCGCGGGCCGGGGGACCUGGGUCCCCUGGCACUGGGCCCUGACCUCUCCGCAGACCUAG